UCUGCCAAAUGGGGUAAUAUCAGCAUCUACCUCAGAGGUAUGAUACUUUGGCCACCUGAUGCGAAGAGCCAACUCAUUGGAAAAGACCCUGAUUCUGGGAAAGAUUGAAGGCAAAAGGAGAAGAGGGUGUGGGUAGCAGAGGAUGAGAUGGUUAGAUAGCACCACCGACUCAAUGAACAUGAGUUUGAGCAAACUCUGGGAGAUGGUGAAGGACAGGGAAGCCUGGCGUGCUGCAGUCCAUGGGGUCACAGAGAGCCAAACACAACUUAGCAACUGAACAACAGCAACAGAGCAAAUUCGAGAUUUUCUGUGC
ensembl:lncRNA